rnacentral:rRNA from 1 species
AACGAACGCUGGCGGCAGGCUUAACACAUGCAAGUCGAGCGCCCCGCAAGGGGAGCGGCAGACGGGUGAGUAACGCGUGGGAAUCUACCGUACCCUACGGAAUAGCUCCGGGAAACUGGAAUUAAUACCGUAUACGCCCUACGGGGGAAAGACUUAUCGGGGUAUGAUGAGCCCGCGUUGGAUUAGCUAGUUGGUGGGGUAAAGGCCUACCAAGGCGACGAUCCAUAGCUGGUCUGAGAGGAUGAUCAGCCACAUUGGGACUGAGACACGGCCCAAACUCCUACGGGGGGCAGCAGUGGGGAAUAUUGGACAAUGGGCGCAAGCGUGAUCCAGCCAUGCCGCGUGAGUGAUGAAGGUCUUAGGAUUGUAAAGCUCUUUCACCGAUGAAGAUAAUGACGGUAGUCGGAGAAGAAGCCCCGGCUAACUUCGUGCCAGCAGCCGCAGUAA